rnacentral:rRNA from 1 species
AUGAACGCUAGCGACAGGCUUAACACAUGCAAGUCGAGGGGCAGCGGGGGAUAAGCUUGCUUUUCCUGCCGGCGACCGGCGCACGGGUGAGUAACACGUAUGCAACCUGCCCCUGUCAGAGGGAUAAUCCGGAGAAAUCCGGUCUAAUAUCGCAUAAAGCGUUUGCGGGGCAUCCUGCGAGCGCCAAAGGAGUAAUCCGGACAGGGAUGGGCAUGCGGCGCAUUAGCUAGUUGGGGGGGUAACGGCCCACCAAGGCGACGAUGCGUAGGGGUUCUGAGAGGAAGGUCCCCCACAUUGGUACUGAGACACGGACCAAACUCCUACGGGAGGCAGCAGUGAGGAAUAUUGGUCAAUGGGCGGAAGCCUGAACCAGCCAAGUCGCGUGAGGGAAGACGGCCCUAUGGGUUGUAAACCUCUUUUGCCGGGGAGCAAAAGCGCCGUGCGCGGUGCUAUGAGAGUACCCGGAGAAAAAGCAUCGGCUAACUCCGUGCCAGCAGCCGCGGUAAUACGGAGGAUGCGAGCGUUAUCCGGAUUUAUUGGGUUUAAAGGGUGCGUAGGCGGACAGUUAAGUCAGCGGUCAAAACGGGCGGCUCAACCGCCUGCCGCCGUUGAAACUGGCAGUCUAGAGUGGGCGAGAAGUACGCGGAAUGCGCGGUGUAGCGGUGAAAUGCAUAGAUAUUGCGCAGAACUCCGAUUGCGAAGGCAGCGUACCGGCGCCCGACUGACGCUGAGGCACGAAAGCGUGGGGAUCGAACAGGAUUAGAUACCCUGGUAGUCCACGCAGUAAACGAUGGACACUAUCUGUUCGGGUCGAAUGGGAUCUGAGUGGCACAGCGAAAGCGUUAAGUGUCCCACCUGGGGAGUACGCCGGCAACGGUGAAACUCAAAGGAAUUGACGGGGGCCCGCACAAGCAGUGGAGUAUGUGGUUUAAUUCGACGCAACGCGAAGAACCUUACCAAGUCUUGACAUCCUGCGACGAUGCUGGAAACAGUAUUUUCCUUCGGGACGCAGAGACAGGUGGUGCAUGGUUGUCGUCAGCUCGUGCCGUGAGGUGUCGGCUUAAGUGCCAUAACGAGCGCAACCCCCAUCCGCAGUUGCCAGCAGGUAAAGCUGGGGACUCUGCGGAGACUGCCGGCGCAAGCUGAGAGGAAGGCGGGGAUGACGUCAAAUCAGCACGGCCCUUACGUCCGGGGCGACACACGUGUUACAAUGGCAGGGACAGAGGGAAGCCACCGGGCGACCGGGCGCGGACCCCGAAACCCUGUCUCAGUUCGGAUCGGAGUCUGCAACUCGACUCCGUGAAGCUGGAUUCGCUAGUAAUCGCGCAUCAGCCAUGGCGCGGUGAAUACGUUCCCGGGCCUUGUACACACCGCCCGUCAAGCCAUGGAAGCCGGGAGUGCCUGAAGUGCGUGACCGCAAGGAGCGCCCUAGGGUAAAACCGGUGACUGGGGCU